UCCUGGCUGUAAAUGAUGCGGGCUUGGUGUUGCGUAACCCACGAGGUUGCGCAGUGCCGUAGGGAAGCCGUUAAGUCCGCCGCCUGGGGAGUACGCCCGCAAGGGUUAAACUUAAACCAAUUGGCGGGGGAGUACUACAAGGGGUGGAGGCUGCGGUUCAAUCGGACGCAACGCCGAGAAUGUUACCGGGGGCGACAGCAGGAUGAAGGUCCGUCUGAAGGGCGUACCAGACA
rnacentral:rRNA from 1 species